UAGAAGAUCAAAUAAAAACGCAGUAAAUAUUUACAUUUUACAUUAGUUACAAUUUGUAUUAGUGUAAAUUACAAAAUUUUAUAAAAAUUGUAAAUUACAAAUACAUGUUCAAAGUGUUGAAACGUCCAACACAAAUAUUCUGAUAAAUGAUAACUUUCUUAAGUGAUAGAAAAUAUAUUUAAACUCAUUACUGAAAUAAAAAUACAAAUAAGCCCUUUUUACAUUUUUGUAAAAUAAAUAACAAUAUCCAAUAAACAAGUGUAGAAGUUAACGAAAUGCUUGAAACAUCUUUAAUGGAUUUGGUUUUGACGACAAUUGGAGUUUUACUUUUAAUGGCACUUAUUAGCUGCCUUUGCUGCUUAUGUAUGAAAUUCAGUGACCUUAAACUAAAGCUGUACAUAAUAAAGACGGCAAAAAAGAAAGGAUUGGCAGUCGAUAUUGAUAAACUGGAAAUGAAGCCCUCACAAGGAUGCGAGUCACCUCUUACCCAUGAAAACUGUACAAUUAUGGUACCGGAAGUUGGUAUAAUACUCUAGAUACAUUUUUAAUGUUUAGUGAUGUAGGUUUAGGUUGAUUGAUUUUUUAUAAUGUAAUGGUUUUGGCAACCUUGCCUAAUAUAAACCAAUCUAAUCAUCCACUUUACAUGUUCAGUGUGAAGCAUAAACAUUAUUUGUGGGCUGAAUUGAUAAAAUAAUUAAAUGGUGUAAAAUUGAGUUUUUAAUCUAAAAAAAUUAACAAUCCAUGGUUUUAGAUUUUUUUUGAAACAAGCAUCUGGCUAUAAUAAAGUGUAAUCAUGUAUUUGCUUUCAAAUAUGGGAUGCCCUUUAUACAAUAGAGCAGUGAUUCUCAACCACUGUUCUGCGGCACUUUUUGUGCUGCCAAAUUUCAAAAGUGUGCCGCCAAAUUUUGGAAAUAUAUAAUAAUGUUAAUAUUAUUAAAUUAUAUCAUUUUAAAAGAAAAAUAUUUUAAACAUGAAUAUAUAUUUAAAUCCACAUAAAAAAAUUAUAGUAUAUUUUAGUUUAUUUCGUAUAUUAAAUUUUUUUAAUAAACUAUUUAUGCAGUGUGUAAGUAAAUAAUUUCUUUUUUUGUGUGCCACGAAAUUUUGAAAUCGUUAAAUAUGUGCCGCAACAAAAAAAGGUUGAGAAUCACUGCAAUAGAGACUUGGAGUUCAGGGCCCUGGUAAAUGCUUCACAUUGGGUGACCCUAAACUCAAUCUUUUAUUACAAUAAAAAGCUGGCUAUUUUUUAUUUAACCAUACAUAUUGUUGAUCUUGUCAGAUUGUAGAAUUCAAAUUAAGUAGGAAUAACCAUAUAAAUUAAAGUUAUAAUUUAAUAUCUGUGAUAAACAUAAAAAUUCGUGUUCCUGUCAAGCAUCAUUUGAAAAUUGUGUAAUGAGCAAUAUUUAAAAGAUUUUUUUUAUGUAAUAUAUAAUAUAGAUAUAGUUUACCUAAUUAUAUAUUACUUUUUAUGUAACUGGUAGGUAGGUAUGAUACCAUACAUAUAAUGUUACUUAUAAACAUUAAUAAAAUUUGAACACGUUUAUUAUAUUUACGCUUUGGUACUUAAAUUAGCAUUUAACAGUGAAUUGAUUGAUAGUUGUAAUAUUUAAACUAUGCAUGUAAUAUUUGUAAUAUUAGAAGCACUGCAAAUACUAUUUUACCACAAAUUUUUAGAAUAAUUAUAAUUAUAAAUGUAGCCUACAAGGGGAACAGCUAAGAAUAUUUAUAUAAUAUUAAGCUACAGAACAGCUACGAAUAUUUAUAUAAUAUUAUUAACUUCUCCCCAUGACUUUGGCCGCAUAAACUUUCCCAAUAUGAAAUUUUAUCCAAAUCCAUUCAAUGGAUUAUGCUUGAUUUCACAUUUAUAAUAUUAGUACAUUUAGACUUAAACUAGUUGCCUUACACAGUGGUCUUAGCUUCUAAAAAAAAACAUAGAUUUUUUAAUCGAUUUAAAUUGUAGAAUAGAAGAGUUAAAAGUUUUAUGGUACAAGGGAAAUGCGUUGUCACAUUACAUAUCUGCAGGUCAUUGAUAUUUCUUAUUGUUAAGUAGAUCGAAUGAUCUUGAUUAUUUGAGAGAGUUUGAAUCCAGAGGUUUUGAGUUGAUAUGAUAUGAAUGGUCUGGCCAAUGAUUGACCAGAAAGGUGUCGUGGCUUAAAAGAUAAGAUGCACGGCGUUCCUGUACCGAGAAAUGCGAAUAUGCCAGUGUUGGAAUCCCACUGACAGGUACAAAUUUUUCUAAUGACGUACAUAACUCAUGAUCACAAAUGACUUCUAUGAUGAAGUAAUAAGAACCUGUAUUAAAAGUGAAGCCAUAAAAAAAGUAAUAGAAUUAGCGUAAUUACUGUAUAAUUAAGACAUAGAAAUCAAGUUUGAAGGUAGCAUUCACUUAGUGAUGUCUAUAGCGUAUUAUGGUGACCAGUUAAUAUCAGGUGGGCUGGGUUCAGUUUAGGUGAUCUUUGUUAUUUUUUGGUACAUUUUAGCCUAUUGUAAUUUUUUCAAAUGGCAUGUAUUUGUGACUUAGCUUGUUCUUCCCCUGGGCCCUUUAUUUGUUAAAUAGUUUAUAAAUAUUGAAGCUUAAAGGUGAGCAAAAGAACCUGAUAAAGGCCCUAAAAAGCUAUAAAAAAAAAGGAGGUUUAUCCCUAUUUGAGUUAAUAUAAAUUGCUGUAUAAUAGCCGGCAAACUUCUUGAGCAUUUGUCGACGUAGUGGGGGUAAGUUCGCGCAUGGUACACUCACGUGCAAAAACAUUAUUUACUCUGCGUCAUAAUGCUAUUAAAUUAUUAAAAUCAACAUAUUAUGUAUUUAUUUAUAUAUUUAUUAGAACAUCAACAAAACAUAUAGGUUAAUAAUUGUAAUAAUUUAAUCUUGGGGUAAAAUAGAUAUUCCUUCUAUUAAGUCAAAACUAGAGCUGUUGCCAGGUCUUCGUUCAGUUGAAGCGAAGCUGGUACUUGUAAUUUUUUUUUCGUUAUCAUAAUCUUGACCAUCAUCAUCAUCACUGUUUUCAUCACCCGAGUCGCUAUCAUCGUGAUGAGUCGACAUAGGGCUCAUCGGUGUAGUUUACAACUCGGUCGGUUCGGUCUUCUUUUUUGUCUAUAAUUAAUUAUUUUUUGAAGAUAUUCGAUUCGUAGUAAUCGAAUGUAACUUUUUUCAAUUACCAGCUUCCGAUUACUUUCUGGUUUUUUUUCCAUCUGAAGCCUAGCUCUUUCAUAAUUCGUCGUAAGCUUCAUUCCGAGCCAUUAAAAUUUAUAUCUUCUUUAAAUUUUUCGAAGCCUUUCUACGAUACGGAGUUUCGCUGCUUGUUAUGUAGUUAUUAUGAUUACAUCUUUUUAUUACAGAUUGAACGAAACUAUCCAUUCCGGUAACUUUCUUCUUCCCUGAUCUUUUCUUACCCGGAGUCCGAGACACGGCGAGCAAGCCAGAGCCUUUAGCUUCGUUAAUAAUGCACCUAACACUGAUGUUUUUCUUGCUUCCGAAGUCUGUUUUGCUUUUUCCAUAUCAUUCUUCUCCUGUUUUAUAAUGAAGCAAUAUACGUCGUACACAAUUUUUCUACCCUUUCUUUUGAUUACUACACCAGUUUGUCGCGGCAUAGUGUAUUUUUUAUAAAAAAUCAACAAACACUCAACAUAUAGAAAUGGCAACAAAGUCAACAAGCAAUUAUAACAAAUAACUUAACAAUUAAUAACGAUAGACUUUUUACUGUACGCAAGCGUACUUUUGGGAGCAAGCGGAAAGAGGGCGCGGUGCGGGACGCAAGGUUUGACUGAUCUACCAAUAACGCGCUCGAUACGAUUUCCCCUGCCGUCGCGCCUCACCCUCACCACCAAAGUGAUCUAAAAUUCGGUUCUGCGCAGUCAAGGUCAUUUGCUCAAGAAGUUUGCCGGUUACUAUACCUAGCAAUUUUCUGUUGGUUCCGUAUGAAAGUGGAACAUUGAAUUCCACCUCUAGUGAUGAACAAAAGCAAUUGUAUUCACCAAUUAAAUAAUUAUUAAUUGUCGUUAAGCAUAUUCUAUCAUUAAUACAAUUGCAUUUGUACUUCACGGCUAUGCGAUAGCGUAAUAUGAUCUGGUUACAUCUUGUUUUUUUGCCUUACUGCAUCGAUGUUCUCACCUUAAUGUGUAAAUACUCAAAGUUCCUAUAACACGUUUAAAUAUAUGAAUCUGCUAUAUUUAUUAAAUAUUUGUAUUCGUAAAAUUAUACAAUGCACUUAGAUAGAUCGAUAGAUCUGUAAUUAUCGUAGAUUUUAUUACAAUAUAAUCUGUUAGGUAUUUGUAGUAUGUUUUAGUAAUGUAUUUACUAAAAAUUCGUAUGAUCUCAUUAGCACAGCUUUAUGUCUUUCUAGUCUAUGCCUAAAAAUUAAGCCAUCAUUCGAAAUAUUAUUUGUAAAAAUAAGUUUUAUAGACUAUUUCUUUAUUUUAUAUAAAUUUUUGUUAAAACAUGCCUAAGAUGAGAUGAAAACGGUGAGUUUGUUGCUUGUGAGUAGUGUACCAAGUUUUAGUUCCCACAUAAUCAUGACUACACUUUAGAACAUGUAAAAUUAAACAAUAUGGUAAUUCAAUUAUAAUACAAUGUAUCGAAAACGCUGUUUUCUAAAUAGUUUGUUUAGACAUAUUAGUGCAUUAGCACUUAUAUCGAGGGGUGAAAGGCUUAAAGGCUUAAAGGUUUAGCGAAAUAUUUACAACAUUACAAUAGCGCCACUUAAAGUUUAAAUAAAUAAAAAUAAAAAAUAAAAAAAAACUUCUUCAGCAUUUGAAUGGGGUAGGUAAACUUAAUUGAAGUUCAAUUAAAACAUCAAAUUGUUGAUGCUAAUAUAAAAUAAAACGGACCUUUAUUUAAUUAUAAAGAUAAAUAUCGCUUGAACCAAAUAGUCUUUCAUCCUUCGAUAUAAUUAUUACGGAGCACUAGUGCUAUUCAUAAUCGAUAAGUUAGUUCAAUUCGUUAUGAAUAAAAUAAUCUCGAGCUCUACCUCUAGUCAUCUAUGGGCCCCUUACUCGGACCACAUGGCAUAAGUGUCGUAACCAAGCAAACCUUCGCAUUGUGCUUUACGGAUAUGGUUUAGGACCUUUUUCGUUUGAAAAAGGAAAUUUCAUAGCUGUUGGGAAACACCGCCGAGGGGAGUGCGUGAGUUCCAAAGCCAAACUGAGAAUGAAUUCUGCUCCGGUGGCGAGUGUUGUGGUAAAAUGAAGUUAAUGUGCUCAUGUCAAACCAUUCUUGAGAAAGCUGCUUAUAGAAGGCACGGUAUAAAGCGCAGAGAGAGCCGAGGUAUCCAUAUAACGCGCAUCGUUUGGAAUCAUAUUGAAAAAACGGGAAUAUCGACAAUUCGAAAGGCCCUUCUCUUUGAAGCCUAAUUUAUUCAUAUCCGAUCCGGUACUAGAUUCAUUCGCGAAGUAGCUGCUCUUGAGUUGUUAGGUCUUUUUUUGGAGGCGUUCGGGCAGCUGUUAGCAUAUCCCAUCCCUCCUAGCCUUUGCUCGUGAAAUUAGAAAGGCCUCCGAGACACCAGUAGUCCAUAUAUUAAAUAUAUGUAUGUGUAUAAUAAAAAUCUUACAUUUAUAUCCGUUAUCUGGUACCUGUAACACAAGUUCUUUACGAACUUAGCACGGGACCAGCUAACGUGGCGUGAUUGUUAGUAAAUAUUUAUUAUUAUUAUUUAUUUAUUAUUAUUAUCAUUCAUAAAAAAAUACGAUUUGAAAUUCGAUUAUCUCCUUGUUUAAUUCCGUGACAAACGUGAAACGAAAUGUUGAUCUGUAAUAGUAGCAAAAAAAAACAUUGGAUUAUUUUAGAUUAAAUGGUGUGAACUUGUAAAAAUAUAUUUCAAUUCACCGCAAGAAUCAUCCAUUUUGAAUUUUGCUGUGCCUUGAAACCAUGCAAUGAUAAAACAAUAUAUACACAGUAGUAUGUUUAGAUAUACAUAGUGUUGAUAUUUAAAGUGCCACAUUAUUAUUAAAUAUGUAGUGCCUGUUAUACUAUAAACAUAGAAAUAUACUGUUCAUUCGUAGAUUAUCAUUAUCACAAUACGACAUUCGUAGCGACAUUCAAGAAUACCUACUAUUUAAAGUUAACUAUUUUUUUAACGCCUUUGAAAGGUAGGUGCUGAGUUUUUCAAUUAUGGAUUUAUUUCUUAUUUAUGUAGCUGUUUUCAAUUUGAUAUUUAAUACCACCUUACCAAAUACUACACAAAAUUCUUAGAUUUAAAUUAUUAAUUUAGAUAAUUUGAAACCGACCAUACAAAUUUCUUUGUACUCUGUUCCAAAACUGCCGAUUUUAACAUUAAAAAAACUAUAACUUCAAAAGACUUUCCACUGUUUCUUUUUAAUUUAUAAUACUCCUGAAAAGAGUUUUAUUAAUAAAAUAAAUGUUAAUAAGUGAAAAAUGAUCUUAGUUUCUAAUAGUUUUGAACUGGAUAUUUGAUGGAUACAAACUUAGCGUUUAAAUAAUCCAAAAAAUAUUACUACCCGCGAAAUCUGUUCCGAGCAAUUUAAAACUUAGCUUUGAGAGUCUGUAUCUGUUUAACUACUGCUCUUUAUGAACAGUGUGCUUAGUGCGAGUUUUUUAACGUUCUCGAUAACGUAAAAGUUAGCUUAUAUUUGUAUGGAAUGGGAUCGUUUGCCUACGUUUGCCGCUAGGGGCGCUGUUCCAACUGCAUACAAAAUUGGGUUAACUUUUACGCUAUCGAAAACGUUAAAAAACUCGCACUAAACACACUGUACAACUCCCAAAUAAAUUAGGACGUAAGAUUGUUUUUUUUAGAAUCCAAACUCACAUUAUUCAAUAGUAAUUUUUUUUAAAAAUAUAUGUGUAUAUUGUUUGGAUUAUUAUAUUGUAAAACUUUUGUAUAUAUAUAUGUUUGUUUAGUUGUACUGCCAAACGCACUGACUAAUUGUUUACAAUUAUUGAAAGUAAAUUGUAGUUUAAUAUUAAAAUAUGUUAUCAUUUUAGGCGUCUUGUGUAUUUAAAUGAAAUUAAACUGAAGUACAUCCUUGAUGCAGUA